rnacentral:rRNA from 1 species
GAUGAACGCUGGCGGCGUGCCUAAUACAUGCAGGUCGAGCGAACGGACGAGAAGCUUGCUUCUCUGAUGUUAGCGGCGGACGGGUGAGUAACACGUGGAUAACCUACCUAUAAGACUGGGAUAACUUCGGGAAACCGGAGCUAAUACCGGAUGAUAUUUUGAACCGCAUGGUUCAAAAGUGAAAGACGGUCUUGCUGUCACUUAUAGAUGGAUCCGCGCUGCAUUAGCUAGUUGGUAAGGUAACGGCUUACCAAGGCAACGAUGCAUAGCCGACCUGAGAGGGUGAUCGGCCACACUGGAACUGAGACACGGUCCAGACUCCUACGGGAGGCAGCAGUAGGGAAUCUUCCGCAAUGGGCGAAAGCCUGACGGAGCAACGCCGCGUGAGUGAUGAAGGUCUUCGGAUCGUAAAACUCUGUUAUUAGGGAUGAACAUAUGUGUAAGUAACUGUGCACAUCUUGACGGUACCUAAUCAGAAAGCCACGGCUAACUACGUG